UUAAGGGCAAAGAUUGGAUUAUUAAAAAAUAAUCUAAAGGUGGGAUUAUUCACAGCGAAUAGGUGAAAUCUUGGAUUAUUAUAUCAAUUUUUCCUAUUUUUAAUUGGUUCUUCAUUGUUGAAUUAUAGCAUUUUUGUUUACUUUUCCUUGUGUGAGUGCGAUUGUUAGGCACUAGGAAGGUGAAGUUUUGACAGGUCUUUGGCCUUUACAAUAGCUAGAAGAGCCAAUGGCAGCUCUGUGGAAGAAGACAUAAGCUAGAAUCACUUAAUAGGAUAUUUCAUCAUUUGACUUGUUCAUUUGACAAAUAACCAGUAGCCUUUUGGCCGUAUGUGUUAAUACUAGGUUUUUAAGUUGGUUGUUUCGAGGUGACCAUCUAUGAAGAUGCUUGAAUAACAAUCCACAUCCAAAUUGAUCAUGGUCAUGGAUUCAUGGUCAUGGUCAUCAACCCAGCGUCCCACACAAACUCAGGGUCCAAGGAAGAGGCAACGGACAGAUCGUAUCCGUACGCUCUCGAGGGAGAGGGCAGGAGAAAUGCGUACAAUCAAAUUAAACCCCAAGAAUCCACAUCCAAAUUGAUGUGGUAAAUUGCGGAGCGAUCCUUGCGAUGAGAUGUAGAAUGAGCAUCUUUACUGCCUCCAUAGGUUUUAUUUUGGUGCCAUGAUGGAUUUUGGUGCUAUGCACAACUUCGUCGUCGAGAAAGAAGUAUAAAGCUUGAUGUUGAAAUCCUGGCGACGAGAAGCUAAUUGUCUGUUAGUGCAAUGUGUAGGUUGAAGUUUACUGUUUAUUCUAGGUUUGCGGCCACCAGCAAAAAGAUAAAGGAAAGAAGCUUACCUCAACGAGCAACUCCAACCUACACUAUGCUCAACCAAACAAGAUUCCUUUUCGUGCGAGUUGUUAUAACCUAACGAAGAUUUGAGCUCGUUCGUUACCAUAUUGUGCCUUAGAGGAUUUGUGUCUCAUAUGUACACAUAAGCUAAGAAAUGUACUUGGCUCGCAUCUUUGAUAGAAUAGACAAUUGUUUUGGACUAUGACACAUUACAUAUUGGUUGGUGUCGACAUAGUAUAAGUGUUCAUCCACUCCUUAGCGUGGGAAGUGGUCAGAGAAUCCCUAUUGCAAGGGCCAGGGACCAUUUGUUGAGGAUAGAAACAACUACACUACAACUUCCUCAUGUGGAAAUAAACCAUGAAGUAUUCUCUUUCCAUUCUUUCGGUUGCAGUCUAUCUUGGCAUCAUUUUCUUAUCUUGGCAUCAUUCAUGUGAAGAAAGUUGAAUGAUGCCAAAAGAUGCACUACUUUCCCACAUGAAUGAUGUUUAUACUUGGUCCGUGCUUGAAGACAAAAGUUAAUAUAAUAUUCCAUCAAUUUCUUACAUUUUGCAUUACUUUUUAUUUAUGUUUAUCUCAUUAAUUUUGCAUAAUUUUCUUUUUUUGUCCAUGAUUUCACUCUCCUUUUAAUCUUAU